rnacentral:lncRNA from 1 species
CUGGAACUCUCUCCCCUCAGACCUUUGCCUGGCUAGUUCCUUGAUUUAAUCCUUGUCUUGGCCUCAAGGUGGUAAGCUUGGAGAGACUUUCUCUAGCCACCCACUGCAAAAAGAGCACCUGCCCUCUAACCAUACCUAAGUUCCUUACCUUUAUUUAUUUUUCUUUCAAAUAAGCUUGAUAGUUUUUUUCUCAUUAUUUGUUUAUGUGCUUAUUGGCUAUCUCCAGGUCCUACUCCCCUUCUAGACCCCCCAAUCUAGUGCAAGUUUUUGCAGAGUGGGAAACAUGUUGGUCUUGCUUUGUGCUGUAUCCCUCUUAGAACCAGGCCCAAGUCAGAAGAUCAAUGACAACAAGUAUCAACUGACUUUGUUGAAUGAAUGAAUGGUACAGGGCAGGAGGGGCUGGACUACGGAGGACCCUGAAUACCAGAGGUGGGUGCGAAUGUGCAGGGGCCCAGGGUGUGCAGGAGUGAUGGCAGUAGGUAUUGAAGCAGGGAAGGCUGGAGAUGAAGAGAGCAUUUUAAGAGGCCCCAGGAAUGUUACAUCUCAUGUUAAAUGCACGUGUUUUUGUUUCCUGUAGGAAAAGCACACAAGAUUUUGGUGAUUGUCACUCUUGAAAUUAUUUACUUACAAACACAUUUCUUUUACAUAUAUCUGUAACGACGCAAUAAUCGUUAUGCAUGCUCAGAAAUUCUUUCAAAGUGAUAAAAAAAAAGAACCUAUUUUCUAUUAAGGUGAAAUUUUAUAAAGUUCGGCAAAUUAGUUUUUUCAGCAUUGUCUGAACAUUUAUUUAUUUAUUA